UUUAUCAAAAACAUCGCUCUUCGGUUAUUAAUUAAAUGAGGAGUCGGACCUGCCCGGUGACCUACGGGUUAAACGGCCGCGGUACACUGACCGUGCAAAGGUAGCACAAUCACUUGCCCUUUAAUUAGAGGCUGGUAUGAAUGGUUUGACGAGGGUUGAGCUGUCUCUUUUGGAAUAUUUAAAAAUUAACUUCUAGGUGAAAAGGCCUAGAUUGAGCUGAGGGACGAGAAGACCCUGUUGAGCUUUAGUGUUGGGUAAAGAGCGGCAUUUCUAUUAUUAAUAGAAAGUUUAGAUUUACUUUUACAUCUUUAGUUGGGGUGACUAGGGAACAUGGAUAGCUUCUCUGUUGUUUGUUUAACUUAAUUUGGUGGACUGACUGGUGAUCCAGCAUUGUUGAUUAUCGGAAAAAGUUACCACAGGGAUAACAGCGUAAUCUUUCUGGAGAGUUCACAUUGAAAGAAGGGUUUGCGACCUCGAUGUUGGAUUAAGGUGUCCUGAGGGUGUAGCAGCUUUCGUUGGUUGGUCUGUUCGACCAUUAAAACCUUACGUGAUCUGAGUUCA
rnacentral:rRNA from 1 species